CAAUAGCGUAUAUUAAAGUUGUUGCAGUUAAAAAGCUCGUAGUUGGAUUUCUGGUAGGAGCGACCGUGCCGAACUUGAUUGUUCGUGUAUUGUGUUGUCUUCAGCCAUCCUCGUGGAGAACUUUUCGGGCAUUAAUUUGUCGGGAUUGGGACCCGCGUCGUUUACUGUGAAAAAAUUAGAGUGUUUAAAGCAGGCAAUCGCUUGAAUACAUUAGCAUGGAAUAAUAAGAUAGGACUUUGGUACUAUUUUGUUGGUUUGCAUACCAAAUUAAUGAUCAACAGGAACAGUUUGAGGAUAUUCGUAUGAACAUGUCAGAGGUGAAAUUCUUGGAUUUUGAUCAGACGAACUACUGCGAAAGCAUUUAUCGAGGAUGUUUUCAUUAA
rnacentral:rRNA from 1 species